rnacentral:misc_RNA from 1 species
GAAAGUUUCAACUCCCAUAGAGGUAUGAUAGUUUGCUAUGAUUAACACAAUCUUAUCAAUAGUUGGCUAUCAUUAACACAAUCUUAUCAACAAGAGGCCUUGUAAAAGUUUUGAUUGUUUGCUAGAUCCAAAGUUUGAUGCCCUUGUAUGCAUGCAUGUUAUCUGGAUGGACAAUACUAAUGGCAGGUAUGAGGUAAAGACAGGCUUGAACUCCUGGGCUUGUCAUAGAUACAGAUGGGGCUAGAAGUUUGUAAUUCAAUUAUGGAAUAUAGCACAGACCUGAUUCUUCUUUAAACAAUUUAGUUUUGAAUAUAGGAAUAUAUGUAUAGAUGUGUACAAGUUCGUUAUGUUAUUGUGUAUAUGGUAAUUGGUGCAGACAAUGUGUAUGUUUUUUUUUUUCUCAUUCAGUGAUCUGUAUAUUUUAUUCCAUGAAUUAAUAUGGACAAAUCUUGGCCUAACAUUGGGUGAGUUCAGUUCAAUGCAGUGCAGCAUUGGUCCCUUUUUUCAGGUCAACCCAGUUUGUACUUAGUUGUCAUGUUCUGAUUCAUUAAUAUAAAUGCACAUUAUGACAGGUGCUUUGUAAAUCAUACCCAUCUGAGUUUGUAUCAUAUUUCCACUACUGCCGAUCAUUGCGGUUUGAA